rnacentral:rRNA from 1 species
UACAGAGGUCUCAAGCGUUGUUCGGAUUCAUUGGGCGUAAAGGGCGCGUAGGCGGCGUGGCAAGUCGGGUGUGAAAUCUCGGAGCUUAACUCCGAAACUGCAUUCGAUACUGCCGUGCUUGAGGACUGGAGAGGAGACUGGAAUUUACGGUGUAGCGGUGAAAUGCGUAGAUAUCGUAAGGAAGACCAGUGGCGAAGGCGGCUCACUGGACUGGUAUUGACGCUGAGGUGCGAAAGCGUGGGGAGCAAACAGG